rnacentral:rRNA from 1 species
AAUGAACGCUGGCGGCAGGCCUAACACAUGCAAGUCGAACGGAUCCUUCGGGAUUAGUGGCGGACGGGUGAGUAACGCGUGGGAACAUACCCUUUGGUACGGAAUAGCCUCGGGAAACUGGGAGUAAUACCGUAUGUGCUCUUCGGAGGAAAGAUUUAUCGCCAAAGGAUUGGCCCGCGUUGGAUUUAGGUAGUUGGUGGGGUAAUGGCCUACCAAGCCGACGAUCCAUAGCUGGUUUGAGAGGAUGAUCAGCCACACUGGGACUGAGACACGGCCCAGACUCCUACGGGAGGCAGCAGUGGGAAUCUUAGACAAUGGGGGAAACCCUGAUCUAGCCAUGCCGCGUGAUCGAUGAAGGCCUUAGGGUGUAAAGAUCUUUCAGUGGGGAA